GCAUGAGCUAGGUUCAUUUUCGUUGUGUGAACAAUUCUGGACUUUUAGCCAAUUCGUGUUUAUUUAAUGAAAUAAACAUAAAGAAAUACUCGUCGUGUUCUUCUCGUUCCAUAAUCAAAUGGUGGAUGAAUAUUUUUGUCUUUUCUCAAACGUAAAUGAUUUAAUUAUAUAGAAAGAGAAUAAUCUUUUUGGUCCCUCUUUUGCUCGGCACGAGCUCUCCUUAGGUCUCGAGCUCUCAUCCUCGGAACGCCGUUUAUGGAGAUGGGUCGCGUUUGAGGACUUGAGAUAUAAAGCUUCCUCGUUGUGGUCUCAUGAUUUGUCUAGAUUCGUCGUUUGCUUUCAAAGAAAGUAACUUCAUGGUUAGGUUCCACUAUGGAACACGUCCUUCGUCUACUAUUCUUUCAUCAAGUUUGAACCUCGUUAAAUGAAGUCGUUUCGUUUUAAGGAAUCGUUUUUAGCCUUCCUCCAACGAAUCCGAGUUCUGGGCUAAAAUAGAGAUGUCGUUUUUUCUUUAUCAGAAGACGAGGCAGAAGUCUUGAGAGCUGUUGAAUUUGUUGAGUUAUGUGUUGUUCUAAGAUGGACCGAGCCGGGAGACUUAGGAUUCUGUCGACAUGUGAUUCGUAGAGGUAGAUUGUUUUCGUCUUUGCAGAAGAAUACUUCGAAGUCGAGACCUUCUAGUUGCAUUCUAGCUUUUUUUUUUUUUUUAAUUUUUCAUGAUCUUUUCUUCUGAUGUUGGUGAGGUAUGUGUUUUAUAAAUAUCACAUCCACCUCUUUAGUCGUCGGUGGAGGAUAUCAUCCUUCGGUAUUCACUCUUUUCAAUGUUACUUAUGAAAAAGUUUCACAUUGAUACUAUUUCGCAAGUUGGUCGCUUCUGGGUUCGGGUUAGCGAAAUUGUAGGAAACAUCCUAUUAAGCUUCCUCGGAGUCCCGUUAUCUGGAGCUCGAGGGGUUUUCCUGUUUAGGUUCUCGGUCCAAACUUCGUCCAAUCCUCUUAAAGUCAGGCUGUGGUGGUUGACCCGGAUCCAGGUGAGUCGUCUCAAAGGAGAUGUCAUCGUUUUUGAGCGAUAUGUCAGUUUCAUCAUCUAGAAAUGUCGCCUUCAUCCUUCUUAUCGGAUACAAGGCAAAUGAAGAUACAUUGUUUCAUUAUCGCGAUCUUGUAAAGAGAUCAUGUAGCCCUCGUUAAGAAAUAGGUUUCUGGGCCAAGAAAAGCGUGUAUGCUAGGCUUUAGUCUUGAGCUUGUCUUGAGUUCUCCUUCGUUUGAAG
rnacentral:lncRNA from 1 species